GGAUUCUUGCCACUGGUUCCUUGCAGCUGUGACUCCCCAGGGUAAGAGGCAAAGAGCCACCAGGUCCCAGCUGAGGAAGCCCUGUGGUCAGCUCAGACAGGGAUGCGGACUGAAGCCGAAGCAGGUGUUAGUAAUUGUCGUACCUACAGACGAGGAAACCGAGCCUCCAUGAAGUGAAGUGACUCACCCACAGUCACACAGCUAAUAUAUGCCAGAGCCCACAGCAGAACCCAGACGUACUGAGGCCAAGUUCCAUGCCAGCAUAAAACAGACAGCAGGAAUAUUUCCCAACACUUAGAAAGCAAACAACAGGCCAGGUGCAGUGGCUCACACCUGUAAUCUCAGCAUUUUGGGAGGCCGAAGUGGGCGGAUCACAUGAGGCCAGGAGCUCAAGACCAGCCUGGCCAACAUGGCGAAACCCCGUCUCUACUAAAAAUACAAAAAUUAUCCAGGUGUAGUGGUGCACGUCUGUAAUCCCAGCUACUCGGGAGGCUGAGGCACAAGAAUCAUUUGAACCUGGGAAGUGGAAGUUGCAGUGAGCCAAGAUCACGCCACUGCACUCCAGCCUGGGCAACAGAAGGAGACUCAAAAAAGAAAGGAGGAA
rnacentral:lncRNA from 1 species